rnacentral:rRNA from 1 species
GAUGAACGCUGGCGGCGUGCCUAAUACAUGCAAGUCGAGCGAACGGACGAGAAGCUUGCUUCUCUGAUGUUAGCGGCGGACGGGUGAGUAACACGUGGAUAACCUACCUAUAAGACUGGGAUAACUUCGGGAAACCGGAGCUAAUACCGGAUAAUAUUAUGAACCGCAUGGUUCAAAAGUGAAAGACGGUCUUGCUGUCACUUAUAGAUGGAUCCGCGCUGCAUUAGCUAGUUGGUAAGGUAACGGCUUACCAAGGCAACGAUGCAUAGCCGACCUGAGAGGGUGAUCGGCCACACUGGAACUGAGACACGGUCCAGACUCCUACGGGAGGCAGCAGUAGGGAAUCUUCCGCGAUGGGCGAAAGCCUGACGGAGCAACGCCGCGUGAGUGAUGAAGGUCUUCGGAUCGUAAAACUCUGUUAUUAGGGAAGAACAUAUGUGUAAGUAACUGUGCACAUCUUGACGGUACCUAAUCAGAAAGCCACGGCUAACUACGUG